GAUGAACGCUGGCGGCGUGCCUAAUACAUGCCAGUCGAGCGAACGGACGAGAAGCUUGCUUCUCUGAUGUUAGCGGCGGACGGGUGAGUAACACGUGGAUAACCUACCUAUAAGACUGGGAUAACUUCGGGAAACCGGAGCUAAUACCGGAUGAUAUUUUGAACCGCAUGGUUCAAAAGUGAAAGACGGUCUUGCUGUCACUUAUAGAUGGAUCCGCGCUGCAUUAGCUAGUUGGUAAGGUAACGGCUUACCAAGGCAACGAUGCAUAGCCGACCUGAGAGGGUGAUCGGCCACACUGGAACUGAGACACGGUCCAGACUCCUACGGGAGGCAGCAGUAGGGAAUCUUCCGCAAUGGGCGAAAGCCUGACGGAGCAACGCCGCGUGAGUGAUGAAGGUCUUCGGAUCGUAAAACUCUGUUAUUAGGGAAGAACAUAUGUGUAAGUAAGUGUGCACAUCUUGACGGUACCUAAUCAGAAAGCCACGGCUAACUACGUG
rnacentral:rRNA from 1 species